CGAACAUCAGGGACGUGUUGCGACGAGAGAGUGUGUCGAUGAUAAGAUAUUAAGCCGAGUUGGCCAGGUCCCUAAGUCUUGGAUGGCGAGCUGUAGAUAGGCCUCGAGCCUGAGCCCAAGGAUCUCCACCUCUCAACCCCUGAACUCCAUCUGCUCUGGUCGGGCCGGUAGGCGGCUUAUAGCUGAACCCCUUGCCUCGCACCUCAUUGCUCUGCGGCCCUUUGCACUACCUCAUACACACCCUGCCCAUAAACUGAACUCUCACUACAAACUGCCAUACCCACAACCCCAAACCGUGUGGCUGUAUGAACUCUGAAUGCGCAUAUGGACUGCGAUCAGUCUCAUAUGACCUUUUAAGAACUUUUGAUACUACCUGUUAUGAAUUACCUGAACCCUUGCUGUUUUUUUCUUUUGUUUUGAAUGGCCAUUCCUAUCAAUGUAUGUCCACUAUUUGUUGCACUGUACAUAUUUAAAUAACACCAGUAUAAUUUAAAGCA